GAAGAAACAAGUGAAGAAACAAGUCCCGAAAGAACAGUAAAAAAAGGUCCCACAGGUGAUCAAGGUUCGCCAGGGGAAGAUG